ensembl:snRNA U6 U6 spliceosomal RNA
GUGCUCACUUUGGCAGCACAUAUACUAAACUUGGGAUGAUUCAGAAAAGAUGAGCAUGGCCUCUGCACAAGGAUGACAUGCAAAUUCGUGAAGCACUCCAUUUAAAA